GUUUGCACUUGUCGGGGAAGGGUGAGAACCUUCGAUUAAGGUUCGACUCGAGCGAAAGCGAGAAAACGUUGCCAACGGCAACGGCCCGAAGGGUGAGGAGCGAAGCGACGAAUAAUCCUUCCCCCACCACCA
rnacentral:sRNA from 4 species